UACGUAGGGGGCUAGCGUUGUCCGGAAUCAUUGGGCGUAAAGAGCGUGUAGGCGGUCCGGUAAGUCCGCUGUGAAAGUCCAGGGCUCAACCCUGGAAUGCCGGUGGAUACUGUCGAGCUCGAGUCCGGAAGAGGCGAGUGGAAUUCCUGGUGUAGCGGUGAAAUGCGCAGAUAUCAGGAGGAACACCAAUGGCGAAGGCAGCUCGCUGGGACGGUACUGACGCUGAGACGCGAAAGCGUGGGGAGCAAACAGG
rnacentral:rRNA from 1 species